UGUCCAGUAACUUCUAUUCCUACCUCCCAGUGGUGCCGCCUGGGGUACGAGUAACCGUAGGGAAGAUCGGGUAACCAAUCUCGGUGGGAACUUGAUCGUAUGCUGACAGGGAAGA
rfam:Aedes aegypti strain Liverpool supercont1.1245 genomic scaffold, whole genome shotgun sequence.